rnacentral:rRNA from 1 species
CACGCCGAAAGACCAAGGGUUCCUGCGCAACGUUAAUCGACGCAGGGUUAGUCGGUUCCUAAGGCGAGGCUGAAAAGCGUAGUCGAUGGGAAACAGGUUAAUAUUCCUGUACUUCUGGUUACUGCGAUGGAGGGACGGAGAAGGCUAGGCCAGCUUGGCGUUGGUUGUCCAAGUUUAAGGUGGUAGGCUGAAAUCUUAGGUAAAUCCGGGGUUUCAAGGCCAAGAGCUGAUGACGAGUCGUCUUUUAGAUGACGAAGUGGUUGAUGCCAUGCUUCCAAGAAAAGCUUCUAAGCUUCAGGUAACCAGGAACCGUACCCCAAACCGACACAGGUGGUCGGGUAGAGAAUACCAAGGCGCUUGAGAGAACUCGGGUGAAGGAACUAGGCAAAAUGGCACCGUAACUUCGGGAGAAGGUGCGCCGGCUAGGGUGAAGGAUUUACUCCGUAAGCUCUGGCUGGUCGAAGAUACCAGGCCGCUGCGACUGUUUAUUAAAAACACAGCACUCUGCAAACACGAAAGUGGACGUAUAGGGUGUGACGCCUGCCCGGUGCCGGAAGGUUAAUUGAUGGGGUUAGCGCAAGCGAAGCUCUUGAUCGAAGCCCCGGUAAACGGCGGCCGUAACUAUAACGGUCCUAAGGUAGCGAAAUUCCUUGUCGGGUAAGUUCCGACCUGCACGAAUGGCGUAACGAUGGCGGCGCUGUCUCCACCCGAGACUCAGAGAAAUUGAAAUCGCUGUGAAGAUGCAGUGUAUCCGCGGCUAGACGGAAAGACCCCGUGAACCUUUACUGUAGCUUUGCACUGGACUUUGAGCCUGCUUGUGUAGGAUAGGUGGGAGGCUUUGAAGCGUGGACGCCAGUUCGCGUGGAGCCAUCCUUGAAAUACCACCCUGGCAUGCUUGAGGUUCUAACUCUGGUCCGUAAUCCGGAUCGAGGACAGUGUAUGGUGGGCAGUUUGACUGGGGCGGUCUCCUCCUAAAGAGUAACGGAGGAGUACGAAGGUGCGCUCAGACCGGUCGGAAAUCGGUCGCAGAGUAUAAAGGCAAAAGCGCGCUUGACUGCGAGACAGACACGUCGAGCAGGUACGAAAGUAGGUCUUAGUGAUCCGGUGGUUCUGUAUGGAAGGGCCAUCGCUCAACGGAUAAAAGGUACUCCGGGGAUAACAGGCUGAUACCGCCCAAGAGUUCAUAUCGACGGUGGUGUUUGGCACCUCGAUGUCGGCUCAUCACAUCCUGGGGCUGAAGCCGGUCCCAAGGGUAUGGCUGUUCGCCAUUUAAAGUGGUACGCGAGCUGGGUUUAGAACGUCGUGAGACAGUUCGGUCCCUAUCUGCCGUGGACGUUUGAGAUUUGAGAGGGGCUGCUCCUAGUACGAGAGGACCGGAGUGGACGAACCUCUGGUGUUCCGGUUGUCACGCCAGUGGCAUUGCCGGGUAGCUAUGUCCGGAAAAGAUAACCGCUGAAAGCAUCUAAGCGGGAAACUUGCCUCAAGAUGAGAUCCCACUGGGAACUUGAUUCCCCUGAAGGGCCGUCGAAGACUACGACGUUGAUAGGCUGGGUGUGUAAGCGUUGUGAGGCGUUGAGCUAACCAGUACUAAUUGCCCGUGAGGCUUGACCG